GGAGCGUUCUGUAAGCCUGCGAAGGUGUGCUGUGAGGCAUGCUGGAGGUAUCAGAAGUGCGAAUGCUGACAUAAGUAACGAUAAAGCGGGUGAAAAGCCCGCUCGCCGGAAGACCAAGGGUUCCUGUCCAACGUUAAUCGGGGCAGGGUGAGUCGACCCCUAAGGCGAGGCCGAAAGGCGUAGUCGAUGGGAAACAGGUUAAUAUUCCUGUACUUGGUGUUACUGCGAAGGGGGGACGGAGAAGGCUAUGUUGGCCGGGCGACGGUUGUCCCGGUUUAAGCGUGUAGGCUGGUUUUCCAGGCAAAUCCGGAAAAUCAAGGCUGAGGCGUGAUGACGAGGCACUACGGUGCUGAAGCAACAAAUGCCCUGCUUCCAGGAAAAGCCUCUAAGCAUCAGGUAACAUCAAAUCGUACCCCAAACCGACACAGGUGGUCAGGUA
rnacentral:rRNA from 1 species